ensembl:misc_RNA Metazoa_SRP Metazoan signal recognition particle RNA
GCUGGGCGUAGUGGUGGGCGCCUGUAAUCCCAGCUACUCAGGAGGCUGAGGCAGGAGAAUCACUUGAACCUGGGAGGUGGAGGUUGCAGUGAGCUGAGAUCACGCCACUGCACUCCAGCCCAGGUGACAGAGUGAGACUCAGUCUCAA